rnacentral:tRNA from 1 species
UGCCCCGUGAUGUAACGGCAGCAUGACUGAGUCUGGAUCAGUUCGCCUUGGUUCGAAUCCAGGCGGGGCAGCAA